rnacentral:rRNA from 1 species
UACCAGCAGCCCCGAGUGGUCGGGACGUUUAUUGGGCCUAAAAGCAUCCGUAGCCGGUUCUACAAGUCUUCCGUUAAAUCCGAGCUGCUUAACAGAUGGGCUGCGGAAGAUACUAUGGAGCUAGGAGGCGGGAGAGGCAAGCGGUACGUCGAUGGGUAGGGGUAAAAUCCGUUGAUCCGAUUGAAGACCACCAGUGGGCGAAGG